AGCAGCCGCGGUAAUUCCAGCUCCAAUAGCGUAUAUUAAAGUUGUUGCAGUUAAAAAGCUCGUAGUUGAAUUUCGGGAUUAAUUUACUGGUCGUGCUUUUGUACGUACUGGUUUUAUUGAUUCCUCCCUUCUGACGAACUAUGAUGUCAUUAAUUUGGUGUUAUAGGAAAUCAGGACUGUUACUUUGAAAAAAUUAGAGUGUUUAAAGCAGGCUCACGCUUGAAUACAUUAGCAUGGAAUAACGGAAUAGGACGUUUGAUUCUAUUUUGUUGGUUUCUAGGAUCGACGUAAUGAUUAAUAGGGAUAGUUGGGGGCAUUAGUAUUCAAUUGUCAGAGGUGAAAUUCUUGGAUUUAUUGAAGACUAACUACUGCGAAAGCAUUUGCCAAGGAUGUUUUCAUUAAUCAAGAACGAGAGUUAGGGGAUCGAAGACGAUCAGAUACCGUCGUAGU
rnacentral:rRNA from 1 species